GCAACGUUAUAGCAUUAUCCCAUCACUGAUUUUGGCAGCACGGAAUUGUGAGUUUGACGUGAUCUGUUUCAAAUGUUUUCUUUCGUUAAUAAACCAUCUUUGGUUGCAAGUCUCUUUCUUUUUACUUUUUUCGGGUCUCUCUCCUUAAUUGUCGUAACACUUUCCAUUGUUUUUGCCUAUAUUAGUCUCUUCAUGCUGGACUACUGUUGCUUUCGCUGAAAAUUUAUAUAAUGGAUCUUAAGUUCU
rnacentral:misc_RNA from 1 species